rnacentral:rRNA from 1 species
UACGUAGGCAGCAAGCGUUGUUCGGAAUUACUGGGCGUAAAGAGUGUGUAGGCGGUGUCGUAAGUUUGGCGUGAAAUCUCCCGGCUUAACUGGGAGGGUGCGCCGAAGACUGCGAUGCUUGAGGAUCGGAGAGGAAAGUGGAAUUUCUGGUGUAGCGGUGAAAUGCGUAGAUAUCAGAAGGAACACCUGUGGGUGUAGACGGCUUUCUGGACGAUUCCUGACGCUGAGACACGAAAAGCGUGGGUAGCAAACAGG